rnacentral:lncRNA from 1 species
AAAAAUUACCCAUCAUUUUCCUAAAAAAAAAAAAAAAAAAAAAAAAAAAAAAAAAAAAAAAAAAAAAAAAAAAAACGAAAAAAAAACGAAAAAAAAAACGAAAAAAAAAGAAAAGAAAAAAAAGAAAAAAAAAAUUUAAUUAAUUAAUUAAUUAAAUAAUUAAAAUAAAUAAAUAAAUAAAAUAUAACAAAUUAUUUUGGACUUGGGUCUCCCUCAUUC